rnacentral:lncRNA from 1 species
GGAAAUUACCUGAAGCUGGGGAAAGAAACCCCUAAAUAUAUUAGGGGUAGCAGGAUCUGGUGCUCACACAGAGCUGAGAAUAUUUGCCCUUCUCACCAGCCAGACUGGAAAACCCCAUGAUUCACAGGACAUUAGUUGUAAAGAUACAUUUGAAAAGAGAAGAUGACAUCAAUAUAUUUGAUGGCGUCCCCGUGAAGAGUGGUUGCCAAUACUACAGGAAGAGAAAAGAACUUUGAAAAGUAGAUAGAAUUUCACUCCGCAAAGCAUUGUUUAGUGGGACGAUUCUGGAAUUAGGCUCAGAAUUGUGACAGGAUGACUCUUCUGUUACUGAAAAUUACAUCCACCGUUUAAAGCAUUUUGGUGUCCGCUGCAGUUGUCUUCAGCCGCACUGCACUGUAUCCACGUUCAAGCCCAUGGGAAGGAAAAGGAGAAAACGUGGAGGGAAAACAACUUCAUAUUGAAGGACAUGAAGCAGACAUUGUUGCUAAAACCUACUAGCUAAAACCAAGACUCAAAGCAUCACCAAGAUCCAAGAGAAGAUGGAAAAUGUAAUCUCUAACUGGAGUGGCCAUUAGUCUAGCCAAAACUUGGGUGUGAGGAGUUCUUCUAGUACAAGAAGAAGGGGGGCAUGGAUAUGGGGAAAAUUCCAAAAUUUUUUAAAAGAGCACAUCAUCAAGCUUUUGAAACCUCAGAGGUUCCCUGCAAAUGGGCUUUUCCUCUAACCCUUUCUCCCAAAGCAAGGAUACCUGCAAGAAGCAGCACAGCGGUGGGGAUGUCACAAAGCAUCUUUCUCAACCCCUCUGUCUAGGUGGCAAUGGACAGUGAAACAAUGAGAUGUCUGUGGUUAUUUUGACUCUGAAUAAAAUAGAAAAACAUAACAACACCUUCAUUUAACAUAGUGAAUACCUGCUAUGUGUCAACACUAUAAGAUACAGAAGUAAACAAGACAGUCCUGGUCCUGGCUGCUGCCCUCCUGAUGCUUACCUUACAGAAUGGAAGACAUUCACUGAACAAUUUAUUAUGAGUUGAUCAUUUAAUUACAAUAAGUGUUCUAAGGAAGCACAGUGUGUAUAUGAGUAUGUGUUUGUUGUUAGUGCUGUCAAGUGGAUUCCAACUCCUAGUGACGAUGUGUACAAUUGAGUGGAACCUACACACAGCCACCACAGUAGGUCAAUCGACAGACAGGUGGUGUGGUUCCUUGACCAGAAAGGGAACCCGAGCCAUGGUGUUGAGAGCGCAAAUCUUAACCACUAGACCACCAGGGCUGGCUGUGUGAGUGUAUAACACAGGAAUUUGGCCUAGGCUGCAGAGAUCAGAAAUGCAGUAUUAAAAGCAUUAAAAGUAAAAAAGACAGGUUCACUCCAAUCUUUUUCCUUUACAGAUGUUCAUAUUUCUUUGGUUUCCUAAAGUGCUUUUUAGUCUUUCAUGUUUAUUAUUAAGUACUUAAGGCUAUGAUUUUC